rnacentral:rRNA from 1 species
UACGAAGGGGGCUAGCGUUGUUCGGAAUUACUGGGCGUAAAGCGCGCGCAGGCGGUUCUUCAAGUCAGAGGUGAAAGCCCAGAGCUCAACUCUGGAAUGGCCUUUGAGACUAGAGAACUAGGGUACGGGAGAGGUGAGUGGAAUUCCGAGUGUAGAGGUGAAAUUCGUAGAUAUUCGGAAGAACACCAGUGGCGAAGGCGACUCACUGGCCCGUUACCGACGCUCAGGCGCGACAGCGUGGGGAGCAAACAGG